UACGUAGGGUGCAAGCGUUGUCCGGAAUUAUUGGGCGUAAAGAGCUCGUAGGCGGUCUGUCGCGUCGGCUGUGAAAACUCGGGGCUCAACCCCGGGCUUGCAGUGGAUACGGGCUGGCUAGAGGCAGGCAGGGGAGAACGGAAUUCCCGGUGUAGCGGUGAAAUGCGCAGAUAUCGGGAGGAACACCGGUGGCGAAGGCGGUUCUCUGGGCCUGUACUGACGCUGAGGAGCGAAAGCGUGGGGAGCGAACAGG
rnacentral:rRNA from 1 species